GGAAUAUUGGACAAUGGGUGAGAGCCUGAUCCAGCCAUCCCGCGUGAAGGACGAAGGACCUAUGGUUUGUAAACUUCUUUUGUACAGGGAUAAACCUAUCUACGUGUAGAUAGCUGAAGGUACUGUACGAAUAAGCACCGGCUAACUCCGUGCCAGCAGCCGCGGUAAUACGGAGGGUGCGAGCGUUAUCCGGAUUUAUUGGGUUUAAAGGGUCCGUAGGCGGAUUGGUAAGUCAGUGGUGAAAUCCUACAGCUCAACUGUAGAACUGCCAUUGAUACUGCUAGUCUUGAGUGUAAUUGAAGUAGCUGGAAUGAGUAGUGUAGCGGUGAAAUGCAUAGAUAUUACUCAGAACACCGAUAGCGAAGGCAGGUUACUAAGUUACAACUGACGCUGAUGGACGAAAGCGUGGGGAGCGAACAG
rnacentral:rRNA from 1 species